rnacentral:tRNA from 1 species
AGUAGCAUAGCCUAGUGGAUAGAGCAUAGGCUUAGAAAUCAAAAGACCUGGGUUCUAAUCCCAGUUCUGCCA